rnacentral:miRNA from 1 species
AGUCAUGCCAUUCACCAAAGCAGUAAAUUAAGAUUUGGCGUUUGAAGUUGGCGUUUGGCGUAUAGAUUUCAUGCUUGAACUGCUACGAGGGCUUGUAGUCGUUAAAGCAUGAAAUUUAUACGUUCAAACGUCAACUUCAAACGCCAAAUCUUCAUUUACUGCUUUGGUGAAUGGCAUGACU